rnacentral:misc_RNA from 1 species
UACGGAGGUGGCAAGCGUUGUCCGGAAUUAUUGGGCGUAAAGCGCUCGCAGGUGGUUCUUUAAGUCUGAUGUGAAAUCUUGCGGCUUAACCGCAAGCGGUCAUUGGAAACUGGGGGACUUGAGUACAGAAGAGGAGAGCGGAAUUCCACGUGUAGCGGUGAAAUGCGUAGAUACGUGGAGGAACACCAGUGGCGAAGGCGACCCUCUGGUCUGUAACUGAAGCUGAGGCGCGAAAGCGUGGGGAGCAAACAGG